AUGCCAGGAGCGCAACCGGUGAAUAUGAGGCCUUACCGUUACAAACCAAAGCACAAGUCAGAGAUUGAGAAGAAAGUUAAAGAGCUGUUGGAUCAAGGAGUCAUUCAGAAGAGUCACAACCCCUUCUCGUCACCGGUGAUUCUGGUCAAGAAGAAAGAUGGAACAUGGCGGCUUUGCAUGGAUUACCGCCUCUUGAACGCUAUGACAGUGGUGGGCAAGUACCCGGUGCCGGUGAUCGAGGAGCUAUUGGACAAGUUGCAUGGUGCUCGAUGGUUCUCAAAACUGGAUUUACGUGCAGGCUACCACCAAAUUUGCCUGGCAGAGGGGGAGGAGUACAAGACGGCCUUUCAAACCCAUACAGGUCAUUUCGAGUUCUUGGUGGUCUCGUUCGGGUUGGCUGGAGCUCCGGGCACCUUCAAUGGGGGUAUGCCAGAAACCUUACAACCUCUUAUCAGAGAGUGUGUGCUGGCGUUCUUCGACAACAUCCUUGUCUUUAGCAAAACCCUACAAGAUCAUGUUCAGCAUCUGCAGCAGGUGUUCAAUCUGCUCCGGCGUGACCAAUGGAAGGUGAAGAUGAGCAAAUGUGCCUUUGGUCAGCACCGCAUAUCGUACCUGGGGCACGUCAUCAGCGCAGAGGGGGUUGCCACACAUCCUACCAAGAUUCAGGCCGUUCGCGGCUGGCCAACGCCAGCAAAUGUCAAGGAAGUCCGUCAUUUUUUGGGUUUAGCUGGUUACUACCGACGAUUCGUGCGAUAG
rnacentral:rRNA from 1 species